AUUACUUCUUGACCUUUUUACUAAGAUCAAGUGUAAUAUCUGUUCUUAUCAGUUUAACAUCUAUCACUUAAUGUAAAAAAGAUGUCUUUCUUUUGUAUUCCAUUCAACAAGACUUUACACGCAUAUUCCAUGUGCAGCCUAGUAGUAGACUGUGGAAACCAAUGGACUGAUGGCUCUGACAAACUAGUCAGU